rnacentral:rRNA from 1 species
UACGGAGGGUGCAAGCGUUAAUCGGAAUUACUGGGCGUAAAGCGCACGCAGGUGGCUGAGUCAGUCGAUUGUGAAAGCCCUGGGCUUAACCUGGGAAUUGCAGUCGAUACUACUCAGCUAGAGUAUGGGAGAGGGUAGUGGAAUUCCCGGUGUAGCGGUGAAAUGCGCAGAUAUCAGGAGGAACACCAAUGGCGAAGGCAGCACUCUGGGACGUGACUGACGCUGAGACGCGAAAGCGUGGGGAGCAAACAGG